AUUGAACGCUGGCGGCAGGCUUAACACAUGCAAGUCGAGCGAACGGCGGACGGGUGAGUAGUGUCUGGGAAACUGCCUAAUGUAGCGGGAUAAGUACUGGAAACGUUAGCUAAUACCGCAUACCAUCAGAUGUGCCCAGAUGGGAUUAGCUAGUAGGUGGGGUAAUGGCUCACCUAGGCGACGAGCCCUAGCUGGUCUGAGAGGAUGAACAGCCAAACUGGAACUGAGACACGGGCCAGACUCCUACGGGAGGCAGCAGUGGGGAAUAUGGCACAAUGGGCGAAAGCCUGAUAGAGCAAUGCCGCGUGUGUGAAGAAGGCCUUCGGGUUGUAAAGCACUUUCAGCGAGGAGGCGUUACUCGCAGAAGAAGCAACGGCUAACUCCGUGCCAGCAGCCGCGGUAAUAC
rnacentral:rRNA from 1 species